CUGAAUGCUUCCUUGAUGAGGAUCAGGGAAGACAUGGCAAGUAACUGAAACCCUCGUGUCCUCUUCAGCAUGAUUGACCGGCAGGCAGGUCAGAGGCCAGGUGUGGCUGGGAUACUGACCUCCAGGUUAACCUACUAGCCAGAGCUUUCAACCAGAAAAUCCUCUGUGAGGGUUAAUGUUCCUUGCCAACUUGUCAGAUCUGGAAUUACCUAGAAGAUAAGCCUCCAGGCACAGCUGUUAGGGAUUAUGCGGCUUCUGGACAGGCUUAUGCAAAGGAUACCUGUGACCCGCUGCUUCAAGUUCCUGAAGCCUAAACUUUCCUGCCAGGAUGGACCCUGAACUGUGACCCAAGACAAGCUGUUCCCUUCCACAGUAAGCUGUCCCUUUCUCGAGUCACUGUGGUGGCUAAAGCUUCUUCAGGUUGAAGGACAGAUAACUUCCUGGAAUUCUGGGGGCUGGCUGCUGUUAGGUAAAAUGACAAGCUAUGUGUUUUCACUUCUGUAAACAAGCUUGGUUGCCCCAACUACACAGGACGUCCUUGACCACCUGAAGGUGGGAAGUUUGUGGGCAAGAAGUACUUGAAGAGCCGGGCGUGGUAGCCCACGCCUUUGAUCCCAGCACUUGGGAGGCAGAGGCAGGUGGAUUGCUGUGAGUUCCAGACCAGUUUGGUCUAUGAAGCAAGUCCAGGACAGCCUCGAAAAACCAAAAAAAGAAGUGCUUGAGGAUAUAUGCUUGUCCCUGGUUGGACGAAUGUGGGAAGGAUAGAACCUUGUGGGUCUUUCCUUCGAGCUCCUGUCUAUAAUGUAAUUUGAUGCUCUUGGGAGAGUAUGGACCUGGCCAGUGUCCAUCAUCCUGGCCAGUAUUCACUAAAGCUUGCUUCAGAUUUGGCCUCCAAAAUUGUGGUAGUGGUCUUAGUCUUACCCUGUGGGGUUCAUAUCUCUCCUUCAGGUCAUUCUAUCCCAGCAACAGGGAUAGAAUCUCUUCCAAAACGGCGGCAGGAGCUGAGGACAGUGACCUCCACUACUCACAGUCUGGGGGCUUCUCUGCCAGGCAGUGGACAUGUGGGAGGCCACUUGAAAGAAAUAAAGGCUGUCAGGGCCAUAUAAAGAUUCAGACAAAGGUGCCAGCAUGGACACCCAAUUGACUUGGUUAAGACGGCCACCACCGGAUGUGCAGGCAGCCAUGUGUAAACCACCAAAGUGACUGUUAUGUAAUUCAUCAUGUAGCCGGCUCUGGCAAGAAGCCAGUUUUGUGUGAUAUUCUGCAAAAAUGCCUUGGGAUCAAGUGUGCAUGUGUUUUCCCUGAGUGAAGAAAGCAUGUCACAUCUA